rnacentral:rRNA from 1 species
AACGCUAGCUACAGGCUUAACACAUGCAAGUCGAGGGGCAGCAUGGUCUUAGCUUGCUAAGGCUGAUGGCGACCGGCGCACGGGUGAGUAACACGUAUCCAACCUGCCGUCUACUCUUGGCCAGCCUUCUGAAAGGAAGAUUAAUCCAGGAUGGGAUCAUGAGUUCACAUGUCCGCAUGAUUAAAGGUAUUUUCCGGUAGACGAUGGGGAUGCGUUCCAUUAGAUAGUAGGCGGGGUAACGGCCCACCUAGUCAACGAUGGAUAGGGGUUCUGAGAGGAAGGUCCCCCACAUUGGAACUGAGACACGGUCCAAACUCCUACGGGAGGCAGCAGUGAGGAAUAUUGGUCGAUGGGCGAUGGCCUGAACCAGCCAAGUAGCGUGAAGGAUGACUGCCCUAUGGGUUGUAAACUUCUUUUAUAAAGGAAUAAAGUCGGGUAUGCAUACCCGUUUGCAUGUACUUUAUGAAUAAGGAUAGGCUAACUCCGUGCCAGCAGCCGCGGUAAUACGGAGGAUCCGAGCGUUAUCCGGAUUUAUUGGGUUUAAAGGGAGCGUAGAUGGAUGUUUAAGUCAGUUGUGAAAGUUUGCGGCUCAACCGUAAAAUUGCAGUUGAUACUGGAUGUCUUGAGUGCAGUUGAGGCAGGCGGAAUUCGUGGUGUAGCGGUGAAAUGCUUAGAUAUCACGAAGAACUCCGAUUG